AGGGGACCUACAGGUGCUAUGGCUCACAGAGCAGCUCCCCCUACCUGUUGUCACACCCCAGUGACCCCCUGGAGCUCCUGGUCUCAGCCUCGAGCAGCCAAGAUUACACAGUGGAGAAUCUCAUCCGAUUGGGGAUGUCUGCCUUAAUCCUCGUGGUUCUCGGGGUGCUGCUCUUUCAAGCUCGGCACAGAGAAGACCCCAAGAUACAGGCAGGACACAGACGUAAGAGAGAGAAGACGGACUUCUCAGUGAGGUAGAACUUUGAAAAUGAAAUUGAUGAUACCGAGAGUUUCUGGAAGAAAAUCUGGGCGUACGCUGGGGAAACAUUCUGCUGAGAAUAUUCUGGGUAUUAACGCAGUUUGGGUGCGUGGGUUUGGGCGCUGUAAUGGGGGCUCUUCUACAAUCAAACUGUGGUCAUUUCACUCCCCAGCACGUCUCCUUCCUGGCUUUCCCAUGACGUUUUCUGGACUGGCUUCCUUCUUUCCUCAACCCUAUGACAUGAGGUUACAUCCCCCGUGGUAGCUUUGGGCCCACCUUCAUGGGAUCUUUGGUUCUCUAUUCCCUGGUGUGUGUAGUCUUCAGCUCAGAACACAGAUUCUGUUUUAAAUACUGAAUAGAUGGAUGUAUACCAAGUCCGGUUCGGGGAUAAUACAUCGGAAAUCAUUCUGUAAAAGAGAAUCUGGACCCACAAGACAUUCCCUUUUCAUCACAUGAUAAAUGAUCUAGUUUCUCCAGAAAUAUCAUCCCUUGGAAUGAACAGGAUGAGGGAACAGAAGGCAAGCUGAGGACAAAGCAGAAACAGACACCCCACAAACACCCCCCCCCAC